GACGAACGCUGGCGGCGUGCUUAACACAUGCAAGUCGAACGGAAAGGCCCUGCUUUUGUGGGGUGCUCGAGUGGCGAACGGGUGAGUAGCACGUGAGUAACCUGCCCUUGACUUUGGGAUAACUUCAGGAAACUGGGGCUAAUACCGGAUAGUAGCUCCUGCUGCAUGGUGUGGGUUGGAAAGUUUCGGCGGUUGGGGAUGGACUCGCGGCCAAUCAGCUUGUUGGUGGGGUAGUGGCUUACCUAGGCUUUGACGGGUAGCCGGCCUGAGAGGGUGACCGGCCACAUUGGGACUGAGAUACGGCCCAGACUCCUACGGGAGGCAGCAGUGGGGAAUAGUGCACAAUGGGCGGAAGCCGGAUGCAGCAACGCCGCGUGCGGGAUGACGGCCUUCGGGUUGUAAACCGCGUUCGCCUGUGACGAAGCGUGAGUGACGGUAAUGGGUAAAGAAGCACCGGCUAACUACGUG
rnacentral:rRNA from 1 species